rnacentral:rRNA from 1 species
CAGCCGCCGCGGUAAUACGUAGGUGGCAAGCGUUGUUCGGAAUUAUGGGCGUAAAGGGCUCGCAGGCGGUUUCUUAAGUCUGAUGUGAAAGCCCCCGGCUCAACCGGGGAGGGUCAUUGGAAACUGGGAAACUUGAGUGCAGAAGAGGAGAGUGGAAUUCCACGUGUAGCGGUGAAAUGCGUAGAGAUGUGGAGGAACACCAGUGGCGAAGGCGACUCUCUGGUCUGUAACUGACGCUGAGGAGCGAAAGCGUGGGGAGUGAACAGGAUUAGAGACCCGUGUAGUCCCUGUCUCUUAUACC